UAAGUAAACUGGAUGAUCGCGGAUACAUGAUGAAAAUCAGUAGAUGAGGAAAGUCCGGGCUUCAUAGGGCAAGGGCGCCGGGCAGUUCCCGGUGAGGGUAACCUUAAGGAAAGUGCAACAGAAAAUAAACCGCUGAGAAAUCAGCAAGGGUGGAAUGGUGAGGUAAGAGCUCACCGGCAGCUUGGUAACAAGCUGGCCGUGUAAACCCCGUCCGAAGCAACACCGUGGAGAAACUAAUUGUUCCCGCAAGGUUUCGAGGAGGUGGCUUGAACCUAAAUGAGAGUUUAGGUCUAGAUAGAUGAUCAUCUUUGACAGAACCCGGCUUAUAGGUUUACUUGGAUC
rnacentral:RNase_P_RNA from 1 species